rnacentral:rRNA from 1 species
AUUGAACGCGGGCGGAAUGCUUUACACAUGCAAGUCGAACGGCAGCACGGAGUUCGGUCUGGUGGCGAGUGGAGAACGGGUGAGUAAUGUAUCGGAACGUGCCUAGUCGUGGGGGAUAACGUCGUGAAAAUUACGCUCAUACCGCAUACGAUCUAUGGAUGAAAGCGGGGGAUAGCAAGACCUCGAGCGAUUAGAGCGGCCGAUAUCAGAAUAGGUAGUCGUUGGGGUAAAGGCCCACCAAGCCAACGAUCUGUAACUGGUCUGAGAGGACGACCAGCCACACUGGAACUGAGACACGGUCCAGACUCCUACGGAAGGCAGCAGUGGGGAAUUUUGGACAAUGGGUGAAAGCCUGAUCCAGCCAUUCCGCGUGCAGGAUGAAGGCCCUCGGAGUGUAUACUGCUUUUGUACAGAACGAAAAGGUUUCUACUAAUACUAGGAGCUCAUGACGGUACUGUAAGAAUAAGCACCGGCUAACUACGUGCCAGCAGCCGCCGUAA